rnacentral:rRNA from 1 species
GACGAACGCUGGCGGCGUGCUUAACACAUGCAAGUCGAACGGACAGGCCCUGCUUUUGUGGGGUUCUCGAUUGGCGAACGGGUGAGUAACACGUGAGUAACCUGCCCUUGACUUUGGGAUAACUUCAGGAAACUGGGGCUAAUACCGGAUAGGAGCUCCUGCUGCAUGUUGGGGGUUGGAAAGUUUCGGCGGUUGGGGAUGGACUCGCGGCUUAUCAGCUUGUUGGUGGGGUAGUGGCUUACCAAGGCUUUGACGGGUAGCCGGCCUGAGAGGGUGAACGGGCACAAUGGGACUGAGAGAGGGACCAGAAGCGUACGGGAGGCAGCAGGGGAGAACAUUGCGGAGUAGGCGGAAGCCAGAGGCGGCAACGUCGGGUGCGUGAUGAUGGCUUUCGAGUUGUAAACCGCUUUCUACGGUACUGAACAGUGAGUGACGGUAAUGGGUAAAGAAGCAACGGCUAACUACGUG